AAGCCAUGAUUUUGACAACUCCUUAUGAUAGCUUUGAAUCGCUCCCAUGCCUUAUAGAUAGAUUCAAAUUCAAGUUGAGAAAAAGUCAUGAAUUCAUUCCUAAUUU